rnacentral:rRNA from 1 species
UACGUAGGGGGCUAGCGUUGUCCGGAAUCAUUGGGCGUAAAGCGCGCGUAGGCGGCCCGGUAAGUCCGCUGUAAAAGUCCAGGGCUCAACCCUCGAAUGCCGGUGGAUACUGUCGGGCUAGAGUGCGGAAGAGGCGAGUGGAAUUCCUGGUGUAGCGGUGAAAUGCGCAGAUAUCAGGAGGAACACCGGUGGCGAAGGCGGAUCUCUGGGCCUUACCUGACGCUGAGGCGCGAAAGCUAGGGGAGCAAACAGG